rnacentral:rRNA from 1 species
GAUGAACGCUGGCGGCGUGCCUAAUACAUGCAAGUCGAGCGAACAGACGAGGAGCUUGCUCCUCUGACGUUAGCGGCGGACGGGUGAGUAAAACGUGGAUAACCUACCUAUAAGACUGGGAUAACUUCGGGAAACCGGAGCUAAUACCGGAUAAUAUAUUGAACCGCAUGGUUCAAUAGUGAAAGACGGUUUUGCUGUCACUUAUAGAUGGAUCCGUGCCGCAUUAGCUAGUUGGUAAGGUAACGGCUUAGCAAGGCAACGAUGCGUAGCCGACCUGAGAGGGUGAUCGGCAACACUGGAACUGGGACACGGUCCAGACUCCUACGGGAGGCAGCAGUAGGGAAUCUUCCGCAAUGGGCGAAAGCCUGACGGAGCAACGCCGCGUGAGUGAUGAAGGUCUUCGGAUCGUAAAACUCUGUUAUUAGGGAAGAACAAAUGUGUAAGUAACUAUGCACGUCUUGACGGUACCUAAUCAGAAAGCCACGGCUAACUACGUG